rnacentral:rRNA from 1 species
UACGUAGGGUGCAGGCGUUAAUCGGAAUUACUGGGCGUAAAGCGUGCGUAGCCGGUUAUGUAAGUCGGGUGUGAAAGCCCCGGGCUCAACCUGGGAAUGCCAUUCGAGACUGCAUAGCUAGGGUGCGGAAGAGGGAAGCGGAAUUUCCGGUGUAGCGGUGAAAUGCGUAGAUAUCUGGAGGAAUACCGGUGGCGAAGGCGGCAUCCUGGACCGACAUUGACGCUGAUGAGCGAAAGCUAGGGGAGCAAACGGG